UAACAUCUCCAUAAAAUCCAUACCUGAAAACAAUGAAUGAUGAAUGCAGGAGAAACUCCAAAAAGCAUCUUAAUAAAGCAUAUUUAUUCUAUCACUGUCCAGCCACCACUGGUUUAGAAGAUAUACACACAAAUGUUAAGGAAAUAUAGAAGACAACACAACACUAGUUAAAUUAGCUACACUUGAGUAAGAUCAUACACAGGCCAACCACCAAGGCUGACCUUCACCAAAAUAGCGGAGAAAAAAGAAGCAAAGGGGUCAAGUAUUUUGGGAGCUUCAUUAUCUUAGAGAAAGCAUGGACAAAAUUUAUACGAUAGUAUCAAAUACGCAAUUUAGAACUAUUAGAACUAUAAAGGCUUAAUUUUUUCCCUAACCGAAAAAAGGUAAGAAAGAGAACAAUUUGGUGAAUUGAUAAACUUCAGUACAUGUUUAUUAAACUUGAUCUGGGAAGAUAAGCAUAAGGAUGGAAUGGCACUUGUUAUAGACAGCUAAUGCAAUUUAUAAAACCAUGAUUCAUUAAUGUUUAUUUCAUUUAUUGAUUGUCCAGACUUCCUAGUGGUCUCUCCAUUUAGAAUUUGUAACAUUGCUUAUAUGGUAAAAUAAGGCAAAAAAAGAUUGUCACUUAAUAAAUAGAAAAAGAGAAAAUUUUACAAAAAAACAUAAAACAGCGCAAUAAAGUAACAGCAAGUUGGAUCUCCUGCUCAGCAAUAGUGUCAGUUUCAAAGACAACUGACAAAUGCUAAUGCAUUAGACAACCUUUAACAUUUAUGACAGCAUGUUAUUAAACCAAGUCCCUGCUUACUUAUGAGAUGAAAGACAUUCUUUCCUGUCCCUAUGUAAGAUCUAGCAUAAAAAAAUAUAAAGUUAUCAAUCAAAAUCAUCCUUGUUAUCAUCCUUGUUCUACCAUAAGCGUGCCUUUACAGCCACAUAAAUAAGCUCAGGACAAAAGCAUAAAGAGAAAUUGCAG
rnacentral:misc_RNA from 1 species